GACAGAGGGUGCGAACGUUGCUCGGAAUGACUGGGCGUAAAGCGCGUGUAGGUGGUCUCGCAAGUCGGGUGUGAAAGCCCAGGGCUCAACCCUGGAAGUGCAUUCGAUACUACGAGGCUGGAGUCCUGUAGAGGAGAGCGGAAUUCUCGGUGUAGAGGUGAAAUUCGUAGAUAUCGAGAGGAACACCAGUGGCGAAGGCGGCUCUCUGGACAGGGACUGACACUGAGACGCGAAAGCGUGGGGAGCAAACAGG
rnacentral:rRNA from 1 species